rnacentral:tRNA from 1 species
GCGGGUGUAGCUCAGUUGGCAGAGCAUCAGCCUUCCAAGCUGAGGGUCGCGAGUUCGAACCUCGUCGCCCGCU